UGUGUGUGUGUGUGUGUGUGCUCAAACACACAUUUAUACACUAAUUGUAGUCUCACCCAUUCAUUUCUAAUGACCAAAAGUUAAAUAAAGCAACCUACAUUUUAUGAAAAUCAUCCAAAUGUAUUUUGUGUGUUCAGAUGCCCUGUGUGGACAAAGUCAUGGAACCUUGUGAAAAUCAGAUGAAAUAAACUACUUUUUUUUUCAGAGAGAAAACUUGUAAAUCGGUGCAAUUAGACCGGAACACAGCAGGAGGGUUAACUAGAGAUCAGCUGUUGAGUCAAUCAUUUAUGUUUCACUAGAUAGCACAGCCACAAAGUAAAAAUGGUCUAUAUCAUAAAAAUGUAUUAAAACAAAAAUAGCUUUUAGAUCAUAAUUUAAGGCUAGACAUAAGGUUAGUAGUGUGGUUAAGUUUAUGUUUAAAAUCUAAAUUUAAGAAAAUAAAUGCAGAAAUAGGCGGGGUUUAUGUCUUUGUGGCUGUGGUAACUAGUGACGACCCAGGCUACUCGCUUCUCUCCUACUAUCACCAGAAUUGAUAACCGAAAAACGUAUGAAAAAUUCAAAGAAAUGUACAUUUAACAAUGUCUUUUCAUGGAUGAUUAUGACUCAUUCUAGAUAUACACUUUGGAUAUUUAAAAUAAUAUGGCAGUGACAGUUACAGUAGUUUUUUCACUGUGGCACGUGAAAGGGGCACGACCCCCCAAGUUCAUAGGAAAACUGUCCUGGAGGGACCUGGCCUACUGGCAGCCAACACUGUUCCCUGACCUUCCUUGGGAACCACUGAGACAAGGUAAGGGCAGGGUUAACACUGACCUCUUCCUGGUUUGUAUCCAAUGAAAGCAGAACACUCACUCGCUUCCUGGUUUCUGUCCAAUCAGGCCCUUCGGUGGAGUAGUGAGCAGGAUCAUCUGAAGGCACGGCAGAGAGGCAGGACAGGUUGGGGUGGGCAACUCCAGUCCUCGUGGGCCUGAUUGGUCACACACUUUUUCUGCAUCCCUAGCAAACACAGCUGAUUAAUCAAAUUGCAUUCUAAACUGAAGCUCAUGAUUAGGUGAUUAUUGGAGUCAGUCGUGUUAUUUGGGGCUGGGGAAAAACUGUGACACCAAUCAGGCCCUUGAUGACUGGAACUGCCCACCCCUGCGUAUAGUAGACAGCUGUGGCUGACUGAAUGGAUGAACAACUAUCUUUCCUCAUAGUUUACCUCCAUCUACCAUGGCAGGAGGGAUACUGCUGGUUCCAGGUGAACACACACACACCAGAAUAUAGAGCUUUGUCUGUGUAAUUCACAUUUUACUGUGUGUGUAGGACACCCUGGUAGAUGCUGACAUGGCCAAAAAUGUCGUGAUGUGGCAGAAUGGAGGCAUGUGUGGUCUGGACCACUGGAACUGUCAUGCAUCCUGUUGACGCGGCCAUGACCUGUGACCCUAACGGAAGUUACGCCAGGACGUGGUGCCCUGAGCUGGCUGCUGUGCCUGAUGACUUCAUACACAAACCCUAUCUGGAGGAAAGGAGCCUCUCUCUGCAGGACGUGAAGUUGGUGAGCAGGCAUUUUGGGGAGUACGUGGACCUGCCCCCCCCCCCCCCUACUAGGUGUCAUUGUGUUAAAGUGCAAUAUUUGUACUAAGGAAUUCAAGCAAAUAUAAACAUUAAUGAAAAAUA